AGGAUACAACCAUAAUUAAACCAAGAAGUUUAUGAAGAAGGGAUCACUGGAUUUUAUCACUUUGGUACAAGAAACAGAAAAGGAUAUCAUAGACCACCUUACUUAUACGGAAGCAUAGGAGCUGUUGAAGGAAAUUGCUGCCAGACAGUCAGCAGUUAUCACUGACAGCCUGUCCUGGCCCAGCUUGGACCAUCCUCAAGCUAACCAUGAUGGUGUGUUUGCAAGAAUUGUCCAUUUGGUAGACCAUGAUGAAGACCAGCUUUGUUGUGGCAUGGCCUGACAAUACUGUACAAGCCAGAGACCAAAAAAGGGUUAAGUGGUGACUGAUCCUCUCACCCUCCUUAUCCAGGAAAAGUUUCGGAACAACGUGUUGGCACUGAAGAUGUGUAUCCUUUGGAUACAUGGACACCUUCAACGUGCAGACGACAACAAAACUGUACCUGCC